UACGUAGGGUGCAAGCGUUGUCCGGAAUUAUUGGGCGUAAAGAGCUCGUAGGCGGUUCGUCGCGUCGGCUGUGAAAUCCCGAGGCUCAACCUCGGGUCUGCAGUCGAUACGGGCGGACUGGAGUUCGGCAGGGGAGACUGGAAUUCCUGGUGUAGCGGUGAAAUGCGCAGAUAUCAGGAGGAACACCGGUGGCGAAGGCGGGUCUCUGGGCCAUAACUGACGCUGAGGAGCGAAAGCAUGGGGAGCGAACAGG
rnacentral:rRNA from 1 species